rnacentral:rRNA from 1 species
UACGUAGGGCGCAAGCGUUAUCCGGAAUUAUUGGGCGUAAAGAGCUCGUAGGCGGUUUGUCGCGUCUGCCGUGAAAGUCCGGGGCUCAACUCCGGAUCUGCGGUGGGUACGGGCAGACUAGAGUGAUGUAGGGGAGACUGGAAUUCCUGGAGUAGCGGUGAAAUGCGCAGAUAUCAGGAGGAACACCGAUGGCGAAGGCAGGUCUCUGGGCAUUAACUGACGCUGAGGAGCGAAAGCAUGGGGAGCGAACAGG